UUCAGCCAGAGCACAAGGGAGAGAGAGACUGGUUCUGACCUUUGGGAGCAGAAGAGAUGAAAACAGAGAAUCCGUUUACGAGGAACAAAAUAUUCCGUUUCCAAAGGAUAGACGUGUUAUAUACAGAACAAUUUGAGAUUGUGUUCCUGUGACAGAGAAAGAGGAUAGCGGACACUGGUUGACUGCCCAACUUCCACUCCACCUUACUACAAAUGAUCAGAACAUAUCAAUCAUGAUAAUAUCAUUUCCUCUGCUAGCAACUAGGAGAGAUAUGGACCCAGUC